AGUGAACGCUGGCGGUAGGCCUAACACAUGCAAGUCGAACGGCAGCACAGGAGAGCUUGCUCUCUGGGUGGCGAGUGGCGGACGGGUGAGGAAUACAUCGGAAUCUACUUUUUCGUGGGGGAUAACGUAGGGAAACUUACGCUAAUACCGCCUACGACCUACGUGUGAAAGCAGGGGAUCUGCGGACCUUGCGCUAUUGAAUGAGCCGAUGUCGGAUUAGCUAGUCGGCGGGGUAAAGGCCCACCAAGGCGACGAUGCGUAGCUGGUCUGAGAGGAUGAUCAGCCACACUGGAACUGAGACACGGUCCAGACUCCUACGGGAGGCAGCAGUGGGGAAUAUUGGACAAUGGGCGCAAGCCUGAUCCAGCCAUACCGCGUGGGUGAAGAAGGCCUUCGGGUUGUAAAGCCCUUUUGUUGGGAAAGAAAUCCAGCUGGUUAAUACCCGGUUGGGAUGACGGUACCCAAAGAAUAAGCACCGGCUAACUUCGUGCCAGCAGCCGCCGUAA
rnacentral:rRNA from 1 species